AUGAGUAACAGCCUCCAAAGUCAAACUGAGUUACUCACUUCCUCCACAUGGGAUCACAGGUCCCCAAAGCACACAUUCUGCAGAAUCACACAAAUAUUUGCAUGCCUGCCCUACAGUAGGAAUGAGCUUUGGGAGAGCGACCCUGUGAGAUUUCUUGCAUUCCAUGUGUUCUAUCAGGUAAUAGAAGCAGAAGGAAAGUGGGUUUGGCUGUGCCCUCAGUUGGCCUCCUGUCAG